rnacentral:rRNA from 1 species
UUGAUCUCAAAUCAGGUAGGACUACCCGCUGAACUUAAGCAUAUCAAUAAGCGGAGGAAAAGAAACUAACCAGGAUUCCCCUAGUAACUGCGAGUGAAGCGGGAAGAGCUCAAAUUUAAAAUCUGGCGUGCCUCCGGUCGUCCGAGUUGUAGUCUGGAGAAGCGUUUUCCGUGUUGGACCGUGUAUAAGUCUCUUGGAACAGGGCGUCAUAGAGGGUGAGAAUCCCGUCUUUGACACGGACUACCAAUGCUUUGUGAUGCGCUCUCAAAGAGUCGAGUUGUUUGGGAAUGCAGCUCAAAAUGGGUGGUAAAUUCCAUCUAAAGCUAAAUAUAGGCGAGAGAACG